AGGAUCUGAAGAAAUCUUGCAAGCUGAAGCCUGACAGUUUGGUGCAAACCUCCGAGGGCUCACCACUUCAGUAGAACAUGCGAUGGUUCAGGUGGUUUUACAGGAACAACACUAACAAAGUCCUCUGGAGACCCUUUCUUGGAUCCCGCUCCACCUUCUCAGGAGGUUUAUGAUCACCUCGGAGUUGUUCAGCAAUGAGACACUUGCCUUGAACAAAAAGGGAGGCUAACUACAGAGGACCACCCUGCCCUUGCAUAUUCCAAGACAGACUCAUCUCCAUCCUUGCGCGUGACUCCCGUAGGACUCGCAGAUGGCUCCGUUAGUGACCUGCUUGCAUAAAACCCUCGGUCCCCUUCCUUUUCUUUGAGGAAGUUCUCAUUAACGAUCAUUCUCCUUAUAAUAGCCUGAAUAAAAUCAUAUAUUUAAGGUUUCAAGGACGUAGAAGAGCUCCUUUUGAAAACUAUGUUGCAGCCUGGAGGAGAAAGGUGGUACACUUGGUAUAGGCCGGUUGGUCCCCUGAACUUCUCCUAGAGACUCUUCCUGGCAGAGCCUGAAUGUAAGGAAACUGUCAGCCAUCAAAAAAGGCAGUGAAGUCAAUUAAAAAUCAAGUGUAAACUCAUGCCUUCUCUGGUUCUUCUCAUGCAUGCUAUUUACAUCUUACCACCUGCACUGUAAACUCCAAGUGGGCAGGGAUGGGCCCUACAUUUGUUCGGUGUCACAGGCUGCCUCUCUUUCACUUCUCUGUGUUCAAUAUGUAUUUAGUAUUUUAUUCAAUGAAUGGAAAGAUGAAAUUAUUUUUAUAUUUUCUGUAGUACGAACUCAGGAGUAUACCUUCUCCUAGGUCUGAAAAGCAGACAGACAAAAUGUGGCUUAAAUAAUAAAACCUAUUCCUAGCUGGUCUAGUCGCGCUAAUCCAG
rnacentral:lncRNA from 1 species